AAACUGUUGUAUUUUGAAGUUUGUAAAUUAUAUAAGCCUCGACUCGUUUUUCCUAUAAAAUAGUCUUACAAUGUGUAAUGACUCGACCCUACAGUACAUACACUGCUAAUCCACUAACAUUUACCAUUCCUGUCACCAUCGAAUCACUUUCAAUGAGUUGAUACAAUUUACAAACUUCAAAAUACAACAGUUUGGCACCAAGAGAAUGCAAGUUCAUCAAUGAAUCAAUCGAAGUUAUUAACAACAGUUGGCGAGUCACAAGAUCCACCCGGACUUCUCAAGUAUACAGCGCAAAAGCCAUUUUAGUGAUGAAAAAGAGUAUCCUGGCCACAGGAUAUCAUUCCUGGAAGGGUCUAUGCAGCAAGAAUUAGAUUGGGAAUUUUGAAAUACAACUACCUGGUAAGGCUUUAAUUAGUUAGUGGAUAUUAGUUGAUAGAUCCCGUUUGAUCAAUCAGUGUGCCAACUUGCUCUCCACAUAAAGCUUUUGAGAUGUUUCCAGGCUCAAGAAGGUUAAAGAUCACAACAGGANUACCAUUCUCUUCACAGCAGGUCAGUGCCAUCAUGUCCAUUGAUGUGGCACCUCUGGAGACCAAGUCCCGAAAGCAAAUAUGCUCGAAAGUAACAUUGUUGUCUCGGGAAUGGCAGUCAUAGACACCAUCAACAUUAGUACCUUUCAUUACUGCCUCAGCAUGAAUCUCUAAAGCUUGAAGAGCUGCAGCAGUGUCUGUGGAAAAGUGUGGAUUUCCAGUGCCAGCACCAAUGCCACCAAAUAUCACAACUCGGCCUUUCUCAAGAUGCCGAAUGGCCCGCUGCCUAUUGUAUGGUUCAGCAACCUCCUGCAUUGCAAAUGCAGUCUGCACACGUGUUUGAACACCCACCUUCUCUAAUGCUGACUGGAGUAAUAUAGAAUUCAUCACACUUGCCAUCAUACCUAUUUGGUAGGCAAUACAUCUAUCAGAACCUGUUUCGGUCACCCACGUGUUUCCACAAAAGAAAUUACGACCUCCAACAACAAUUGCAACCUCUACACCAAGGCGGCAAGCAAUUGCAACUUCUCUUGCAAUCAGCACCAUCACCUU
rnacentral:misc_RNA from 1 species